rnacentral:rRNA from 1 species
UACGUAGGCAGCAAGCGUUGUUCGGAAUUACUGGGCGUAAAGAGUGUGUAGGCGGUGCUCUAAGUUUGGUGUGAAAUCUCCCGGCUCAACUGGGAGGGUGCGCCGAAAACUGGAAUGCUUGAACGUGGGAGAGGAAAGCGGAAUUCCUGGUGUAGCGGUGAAAUGCGUAGAUAUCUGGAAGAACACCGGUGGCGCAAGCGGCUUGCUGGGCUGUAACUGACACUGAGGAACGAAAGCUAGGGUAGCGAAUGGG